AUUGAACGCUGGCGGCAGGCCUAACACAUGCAAGUCGAACGGUAACAGGAAGAAGCUUGCUUCUUUGCUGACGAGUGGCGGACGGGUGAGUAAUGUCUGGGAAACUGCCUGAUGGAGGGGGAUAACUACUGGAAACGGUAGCUAAUACCGCAUAACGUCGCAAGACCAAAGAGGGGGACCUUCGGGCCUCUUGCCAUCGGAUGUGCCCAGAUGGGAUUAGCUAGUAGGUGGGGUAACGGCUCACCUAGGCGACGAUCCCUAGCUGGUCUGAGAGGAUGACCAGCCACACUGGAACUGAGACACGGUCCAGACUCCUACGGGAGGCAGCAGUGGGGAAUAUUGCACAAUGGGCGCAAGCCUGAUGCAGCCAUGCCGCGUGUAUGAAGAAGGCCUUCGGGUUGUAAAGUACUUUCAGCGGGGAGGAAGGGAGUAAAGUUAAUACCUUUGCUCAUUGACGUUACCCGCAGAAGAAGCACCGGCUAACUCCGUGCCAGCAGCCGCGGUAAUACGGAGGGUGCAAGCGUUAAUCGGAAUUACUGGGCGUAAAGCGCACGCAGGCGGUUUGUUAAGUCAGAUGUGAAAUCCCCGGGCUCAACCUGGGAACUGCAUCUGAUACUGGCAAGCUUGAGUCUCGUAGAGGGGGGUAGAAUUCCAGGUGUAGCGGUGAAAUGCGUAGAGAUCUGGAGGAACACCGGUGGCGAAGGCGGCCCCCUGGACGAAGACUGACGCUCAGGUGCGAAAGCGUGNGGAGCAAACAGG
rnacentral:rRNA from 1 species